rnacentral:lncRNA from 1 species
UUUAAGAGCAGAAUCAAACAUACCAAAGUUCAUUUAUUCAAACACUAGACUUAGCUUAUCAACCCCUCAACCGAAGAAAAGGGACAUGCUCUCCAAUGAAAUAAAAGAACAGUUCUCGGUAAUAGGAGUUCAAGUAGAGAAAAACAAUGAUGCCUAAGAAUGCCACUCCGUAUGAUCCUCCAAAACUCCAUAAGAAUAUGGUUUCCCAAGAGCUAUUUUCUUUGUUGUCUGAAACUGGUGGUUUGACUGCAGGUGGGGCACUAGUGGGAGUGCAACUUCGCUCUAAUGGCAGUCCACAUAGAAGAGGGUUGCCCUCGUAACUGCUUUGUUCAAAUGUUGCAAAUUGAAACUUCCUCUCUGGAGUCUUACCUGAUAAAUUGUUGUGAGCAACAGUGAAGACCGUCAAGAAGUUUAACUCUACUACCAUCUGUGGUGGAAUUUGACAUGUCAAUCUAUUGUGGGAUAGGUCCAAGCUUUCUAUUUCCUUUAGGUUGGAAAAUGUUUAUGGAAUAGAUCCUGUCAAUUGGUUGUACGAUAAGUUUAGAGUAUGAAUCCCACUUAGGUUUCCAAUUUUUGGAGGAAUUGGACCUGUCAAUUCGUUCCCUGAAAGAUCUAAUCCAGACAUGAAGUACAAGAUGUUUCCCAUAUAAGAUUCGGACCUACUCUUUGUUAUGAACUCUAUUUCUUCACUUUCAGCGGAUGUCUUAAAAUUGAUCUCCAUAUACGCGUACUCAGAAAUUUGACUUUCAUAUGAGUAUGUUUCUAUGGGACCAUCCCAUCCCGACCUAAAGCCAUCCAUAAAAAAUGUAUCAUCUAUUAAUGCAACUUAUCUUCCAAAAGUUAUAUUAUCUAGGCAAGGAGGUAUGGAUCCGGAAAGACGAUUAUGAGAAAGAUCCAGUAUGCUGAUUGAUUUGAGCUGACACAAAUGAAGAGGAAUUGAGUCUUCAAGUUGAUUUCCUUUCAAGAGAAGAACCCUCAAUUUUGAAAGUAAACUAAUCCAAAGGGGAAUUAGGCUUGAUAGUUUGUUAUCCCUCAAAUUCAAUGACACAAGAGAGGUAGCUUCAACCAGAACAUGGGGUAUAGGUCCUAUUAGUUCAUUGCUUUCCAAAUGUAAAAACUUCAUGUUUGUUAGAUUGGCACAAAGAGGAAGGGUCGGGCCAAUUUUGUUGUGAGAAAGGUCUAAAAAACGUAGUUCAUUGAGUUUGCAAAAGCCUGUUGGCACAACACCAUCCAAAUAAUUUCUAGACAAGAUAAGUGUCUCCAAGGCUAAGAAGUCUCCAAUCCAAUCUGGAAUUUGACCCAUCAACGAGUUGGAGCUGACAUCCAACAAUAGUAGGAAAGAGCUAUUCAAAAAUCCACGAGAAAUCUCUCCCCAUAAGUCAUUGUUAUCCAAAGACAAAGAGGAUAACCGUGUCAAGUUAGAUUUUGUGGGAAGAGUGUCAUGUAAACUGUUGUUGGAUAACUUUAAAACCUCCAAUGAGAUGCAACCCAUCAUCAUGUGCUCAGGUAGUUGUCCCGAGAGAUUAUUGUUUGACAAAUCUAAGGAUCGCAAUUGUUCCAUGUCACUCAUCGAGGAAGGAAUAUUACCUUGUAAUGCAUUUCCAGACAAGUUUAAGACCUCCAACCUUGGAAAAAUAGAGCCUAUGAAAGGUGGAAGCUCUCCGUGAAUGCAAUUCGAGGAGAAAUCAAGCAAAAGCAUGUGGGAAUGUUUUGAACUUGAGCCCAAAUCAAGAACACCUGUCAAGCUGUUACUUUCAAAGCUUAGGUAUUCUAGUUUCGUAUUAUUGUCUAAUAACCAGGUUGGGACAUCUCCUGUCAUAUGGUUGUAGCUAAGGUCGACCACUCUCAAAUCAUGUUGACUCAAAAGAAAGCUGGGUACAACCCGGCUUGGCCAAUUGAGAGUGAAGUUGGAUAACCGGAGGAUUUUCAAUUGAAAUAGAGGAACUGACCAUGUUGGAUUUUCAAUCUCAACCUUCAAAUACUUGUUAUUGCUAGAAAGUUCGAAAACCUCGAGUCUGGAGUGGUUGAAGAGUGAACCAAAAUAGAUUGAGCCCUCGAAAUGAUUAUAAGAAAGAGAAAUGUACUCGAGUGACUUCAUAUUGGAGAAGAGAGAUGAAGGAAUAGUUCCAUGGAAAUCAUUUCUGGAUAGGUCAAGCAAACGUAGGGAUGUCAAAUUGUUGAGACACAUAGGAAGACUACCCUCAAAUCCAUUAUAACUAAGAUCCAACUCUUCAAGGUUGAGUUUGCACAAGCCUGCGAAAGUGAAACAUGUAAUUUAUAAUUACAAUUAAAAGUAGUGGCAACAACUAAGGGAAAAAUAUAUUUUGGAUUAUCUUGGUUGAUAAAUGUCACCACAAUUCCUAAGGUAACUUGUUGAUAAUUUUAAAUAUUUUUGUACUUAUAUUUUUAUUUUUAUUAAUAAUAAAUAUGUUUACCCUCCCAAUCUUUUUAUUUCUUGUUUUAGAAAAUAAAAUUCCCUAGCAUUUUUAAGAAGCCAAACAUGUACCUGUUAAGAAGAUAAAAUCUUUACUAGGAUUAGAUUUUAUGAAAAUAUUGGAUGAAAGUUCAAGAAAAGAAUUUUGAUGGGAUGAAAAAUGAUUAAAACUCGUGAAAAUAUGAAAAAUUUUGUAAGAAAUUAUAUAAAAAUAAUAAUAUAUGAAUUGGAAUUGUGUUUUAUUAAUAAUAAAUGUAAUCGUUAAUUUUUGUUAUGUAAAUACUAAAGCUAAGUAUAUGGUAAUCCUAGUAAAGAAAAAUCAAAGAUAAGGUCAGAAUAACUUAUAGUAUCGGGAUUGUCAUCCUCUGUGACCAAUACUAAUAUGUUUAGCUAUUAAAUUAGAAAAAUUAAAUAUUGGAUGAAACUAAAUUAAACCCUAAUCUAAAUAAAUAGAAAUAAAAAUUCGAAUGACAUUUUUUUAGAAUAUCUAAUAAAAGCUAAAUAAUGCAAAAGAAAAUAUUCAAGAAGAACACAAGUUUGAUUUCAAAUUCAUCAAAAGAAAGUGGAAUUUUUUAUUUAUUUUGAUGGUUGAAGAGUCAAUCCAAAAUCAAAUGAGAUCUUAAGAUUAGUUUAAAUUUGAAACCCUAAUUUGACGAAAAAGCCUAGAUCACAAAAGUAUUUUAAAUUAACCAUAAUCCUUGUUUCUCAUUUCGACAAUAAAUCCUAGAUUCAUCAAUGAAACUCAUCUCAAUCUCAUGUACCAUUAAUCAAAAUAAGUUGUUCGAUGAUUAAAAGGCAAUAUAGUAUUAUUAGAAUCAAAGUAAGCAUUGAUUGUCCUUAAAUUGAGAGAAACUAGUUAGAGAAAUAAUCAAUCAUAAUUUAAAUACAAAAAGAAAGAUUUUAGGUAUGAAUGUUACCACUCUUCUUUUCUUGAGAUUAAAAAUUUUGAUUUCAUAAAGGUGAAAUCACAAUUUUGAUUUGGGCAACGAUGAAAGUCAACAUCAAGAACUUCAUCUUUGCCAAAAUUGAUUUCUUAAGCAGAAUUCAGAAUUUUAGAUUAUAACAUAAUUGAAUCCAUUUCACUUCUCAAAAGUAGUUUUGUCAAGAUUGUUUUUAUUCACUUCUUUUAUUCUUGCCAGGAUGUCCUAAUUAUUCCCUAAAUUGCUUUCAUGCAUGUUUUCAACUUAACAAACAUUUUUUUUUUUUUUUGCUACUAAGUGGGUAGUAUUUUUUUUUAGGAAUAUUUUAUUAAAAGACUUCAAAUACUAUAAUUUUGAUUGAUUCUAUAUUGAUUAUUCAUGAAUUGCUUCUAAGAUGUUUUUUUUUUCUUUGAUUGAUUAUUGAUUAUCCUUAAGUUGACAUGUUUCCAAGUUGCUCUUUUUGAAAAUCAUACGAUGAUGUUAGUUAUUUGAAAACUUUUUUAUGAUGAUAAUUUGAUUAUUCAUGAGUUGAUUACAAGUUGUUGUUUUUUGAUAAUUCCAUUAUGAUUAAUAUUUAUGAGUUGUUAAGAUUUUUGAGUGUAGAGUAUUUUGAUUUUUUAGUUUAAGUAUUUUGAUAAUUGCAUGAUGAUUAAUAUUUAUGAUUUGUUAAAAAUUGUAAGUUCCUAAAUAUUUUUUAUUUUUUAAAGCGCAUGAUUGUUAGUUUAAGCAUUAUGAUAAUAACAUGUUUUGACAUUCGUUUGUAAAUUAUUGAUAAUUGCAUGAAGUUGAUUAAUUUUAUGUGUUGAUUGAUGCCUAUUAGGAUUAGGGUUAGGUUUGUUGUCUUUGUGUAGUUCUCACUCAAUUUAGGCUUUAUGAUUAUAAAUGAUAGGUAGUAUGGGGCUAUUCCAUUUGGUUUUGCAUUGUUAUUGGAUCUUUUCGUGGUUAUUUGUUAGUAAUGAUCAUAGAUGUUAAAUUUCAAUCCACUUAAUAUCAUACACUUUCAUGGGGUUGUUGAGUUUAGUAUUUUGUAUGCUUUAAUAUCCAUAAAGUCAAAAUUUCAAAAUAUAUAUUUUCUAAGAAACCAAAAGUCAAAUAGGGAACACUCCAAUAGGAAGAGUGGAUAGGUGAUUUAAAAAAAAAAAAAAAAUAUUUAUAUGUUAUACUCAAUUCUUUUACCCUGCGAGAUGUUAGAGAUAAACUUUUCUAUCAAUUAUAGGCAAUUCAAAUCGAAUAUAAAAUAUAUAGAUGAUAAGACAUAAGAUUUUUACGUAGAAAACCCCACACUAAUUGUGGAGAUGAAAAACCACUGGGUUUAAGAUAUAUUAAUCUAAAUCCAUUAUACGAAAUCAAGUUACACAUUUAUUUAUUCGUUUUACCAUAAAGACUUUUACUUUCCAAUACCUACAACUUGAUUCACGUUGGUGAUACAACAACCCUCGAUUGCUCUAGUGGAUCACUUUAGCCUUGUUGAAGGGAUGAAGGACUUCAAACCAAGAUUCAAAGGUCUAAUCAUUGAGUAAGAGAUUGGGAAUUGUAUGAUACUUUAGACUUUCUCUUUAGGAGACCCUCUUUAAGGAAUAUAAAGUCUCUCAAUGAUCCAUCUCUAAUCUCUAACCCUUAAAGGGGUUAAUAGGGAGGUAUUUUUAUGCAAAAACUUGAAGAGUUUCGGUUUUCGAAAAGUUUUAAACCAUAUUUGCAUGAGAAAUCUAGGUGAAAUUUGCAUUAUCACUCGAGCCAACUCACCCACUGCUUGAGUGCCUCAGGCUUGAGCGGUCCUAAGUACUUAAGUGCUCUAGGCCGCUUGAGCGCUCCUGCCAUGUUUCAAAAAUCAAUUUUAAAACCUUUUAAGUUCAAAACAAAAUUGAUCCCCUUAAUACCUCAAUGUAGCUUAAUUUGUCACAAGUCAAACCUUUUUAGAUGUACUUGUGAUUUCUCGGUUGGAUGAAUAACAACUCUUAAUCUUCAUUAAUGGAGAACAAGUCACUAUUUAAAAAGAAUUCUAUGACCAAACAUAAAAAGAAACAAAAUUAUCAAUAUAAAAACAAAACUCAAUGUCCUAAAUUUUUUCAAAGAAAAUUAAUCCAUAAGGUUUUCUUAAAAAAAUCAUCUUAGGUCAUUAGGGUUUAAAAAAGUCUUUUUUAAAAAAAAAAAAAAAAAUACAACCAAUUUCAAUUGGUAUACAUCUUUCCAUUGUUUUUUUAAAUAAAUUUUUAUUUCUGACACAUGAAUCAAAGUUCAUGAUUCCAAAUAAAAAUGAAUGAUUGUUGGCCUUGAUAAACUCAUUAAUGAUCAUACAAGGAUAGGGAUAUGCGAAUUAAACUUGUGUAUAGUAAAUGGGGACUUGGUGAGGCCCCACCCACAUACAUUCAUUUUUUAAAAAAUGUUAAUGCUAUUGUUUGAUGUAUUUCUAACCACUAAAUUAAAAAAUUAGAAGUGAAUGGCUUAGGGUUUUUCUAAAUUUUUUCUAUGCUUAGAGCAUAUUCUUAAAUUUGUCAAUUAAAUUUUUCUUGGGCUUAAAAAUCAUUUUCAAUUGGAAGAAUUAAGUUGGUAUAGGUCUUGUUUUGGCCCUAUUCCGCUUGAGAUGGUUUUGAAAAAAUAAAUUAAUUUUAAUUUUAUUCAAUAUUUUUUACUUAAUCUAGACUUCUUGAAAUUAACUUUAGAUCGCUAUUUUGUUGAAAAUUUAUUUCCUAGGUGGGAGAAAAAAUUCUUCUUUCUGCACCUACUACAUUGGCCCUAUUCUUAGUCAAGGGCUAUUUGUCUUGAUGCAAAAAUUCUUCUCGUGUGAUUUAAUCAUGUUGUUAUUUUUCCUAUGAAGUAGAUGUAUUGAAUAAAUUGCAUGAAUUUUGGUGUGAUUUUAUCAUACAUUUAAAUAAUUUAAUUAAAUUAGUCUUUACAUGCUAUUGAUAUCUACUCUAUUUAUAAUUGAUAUGCUUGUGAUUUAAUGUGGUAUUAAUUGAGACAUAGUUUAGUUAUCUAACAUUUUGGAUUGUAAUCUAGACACAUAAGGGAUGUUAAUCAUUUUGUUUCAUGAUAAAAUUCUAUAUUUAAGUUUUUUUUUUUGGAUUUAUUUUGUAUGUUCACCUAUUAUGCCAUGUUGCUAAAUGUUCUAAAAAGUGAUGAUGAAUUUGUUUUAAUAUGGUAUAAUUGGUGGUGAAUUAAAUUGAUUUGACACUUGGGUUGUAUUGUAGAUACAUUGAGGAUGAUGUAUAAUUUUUAUUUUGAUAGAAUACCACUUAGGUUUUUAUUUCUUAUUUUAUUUUCUAUUUAAAAAUAAAUAAAAAUAAGUGACGACUCAAAUUUUUUUGAAAAAAUCAGUUUUUUCACAAAAGAAAAAAGAAAAAAAGAGUUUCAUUGAGUGGGGACGCAUGUGAAAAAUGCGGGUCCAUAGAGAUACUGUCUCAAUAUCAUAAGAUAUCAUAACGUCUCUAUUUGAGAAUACCUAUUUGCCAUGAACCUUUAUUAUAAUUGACCCAAUUCGUAAAGAAAUAUUAUUACAUUAAGGUCUCACUCAUAGGUCGAAGUCUGUUGACUUCAAUAUAGGCUCAAUAUCUUCAGUAUAGAUUCACUGUAGGUCUUGUAUAAUGUAUAACCAUACACAUUAAUACACUCACUAUGGGAACUCUAUCUCAACGACCAAGACAAGUCAUCUUUUCAAUUAGAAGGUAAUACACUAUAGUCUUUGUUGAGUUGCCCAAAUGCAUGAAUUGAAUAUAAACUUUUCAUCAUCUUGCAAGGAAUUUAUGACUUGAAUAUUUUGUGCAACUCUUAGUCAAGUACAAUGCAAGUGAUAUGAACAUAAGUACUCAGAUAACCAAUUGAUGCAUAAGGGAUAAUAAAGGUAACUAGAAACAUAAAUAAAUUAAUUAAUUUAUUAAUAAAUCUAAAUUUUGUUAUAGCAUGUCAUGCUUUCUUAGACUUUAUAUCAACAAUUAAGACAUCCAAAUCUCAAAUUUCUUCAAGAAUUAGAAAAAAAUAAAAUAAAAUUUAGUGUGUCUAGUGAGCGAAGUAAAUAUGGCACCUAUGGUAAUUAUCAACUUUGAAAAUGUGUAAACUUCCUUUUAACAAGUCUCAUUCAACUAAUAAAUUUCCUCUUGAAAAAAUUACAAUGAUUUAUGGCAGUUUGCCUUAACUUUAUCAUCUAAAAAUUUCCAAUAUUUUGUGGUCUUUAUUGUUGAUUAUAAUUGCUACACGUGGCUAUAUCCUUUAUGAUCCAAAUUUUAUUUAUUUUUAGUUUCUUUCUCAAAUUUCAUUUUGAUAGGAAAAUAAAGACAUUUCAAAGUGAUGGUGAUGGUGAAGGUGAAUUCAUCUCUAUUGCUUUAAUUCACUUUUCAUUUGGCUUAGUGUGGCAUUGCACAACAACUUUCAUUCCUUAUACACAUGAACCAAAUGACCUAGUCGAAAUAAAACAUAGGCAUAUUGUGGAAACGAAGGCUCAUAAUGCUUCUUCAUGCUAACUUACCCAUGAAAUCUUGGGUUGAUGCAUUUCUGACAACAACCUACCUUAUAAUCAGGUUACCAUCUUUUUCCCUUGAUAUGAAUACUUUGUAUUUCAAACUCUAGUUUAUACACCUUUGGAUGUCAGUGAUUUCCAUCCUUAAAACAUCAAGGUAUCAAUAAAAUUUCUCAGAGAAUAAAGUUAUUGUUGGGUUGAUGAAAUGAAAAUUACAUAUAUGGCUACGAAUAAAGUAAAUAAUGCAAACUAUUUCUGAAAAUCUAACAAGAUCUUGUUAAUGCAUAAUCAAAUUUUAAUUCUUCCACCAGGUCACUUCACACUACAAGUAUAACACGAAUCAAGAAGUCGAAGCCUAAAGCACAAGGCGAUGAGGACCGGUCAAGACCGCAGCCUAACAUUAAGGCGCCUUAGCCACACCGAAUGAAGAAUCAUAUGAAGCAUAUCGUAGGGCUGCGCCGGCCGGUUUAUCACGAAAUGCCUCUGCACUUGCUUCACCCUCUUUUGCAUCCUCAAAUACCUCUCAUUCGGAACCGCUUUCAAUAUCUUCUUAAUUUCCGGUAUCUUGUCCGAAGUGAUAUUUAUGGAAAACUUGCUCCAAUCAAGAACUUCACUAAACGGCAGCACAUAGUAAUCGCAGAUGAUUACAGGCACACACCCAGCAGCGAUUGCUUCCACUACUCUGGGGCUGGCAACUUCCCAUCCACUUGGACACAGGCAAAACUUGCUGUCAACCAUUGAUUUAGCGUAGUCUCGAUUGCUGGGAAGGUGCUCGUACACCUGGACUUCGUCAUCAUUUUCUUUCCAGGACCUGAACAGGAGGGUUCGCAUGUAGCCGGAUUCACGGCCGGAGAAGAAGGCGAGGAUGUGACGCUGGUUAGGGGGUUUGUCGAGGUGAGGUGGGCCGAGCUUGCCUUUGGGUAUGUUGACUUCUGGCAAAGAGAUGUCUCUGAUGGGCUGGAACCUUUCGGAGGUGUUGGCAUUGCAAAGGACUCUGAUGAAAUGCUUGUAGAGGUCAGGGGUUACAAUCGAAAUCUCUGGUGCCUGAGAUUUCAAGAUAUAUGAUUGAUUAGUAAAACAACAUUGAUUAUAGAAACAAGUAAUGACUGGAUUUUGAGUUUCAGAGGGAGGGGGCCGUCAAAUCGUAAAUGUUUCUCACUACUUUUAUUAAAUUUUACAGACAUGGCAGCUAAUGUUUGAGAGUUGGGAAUUUUUAGGUUUAGGAAAACUUUAAGAUUUGCAGGAGAAUUCAUUUCUAAAUAGAUUAAGUAGUUUACAUUUUUACCAUAAUUUCUUCAGACAAUUCUACGGAACUACCCUAAUAUAUACAUUGGAGGUCUCUUCCAUCCAAUCCCCUUUUUCCAACUUUCAUCUAGACCUCAUCUUUUCUUCUCUAGAAUCUCUCCAAGCCAGAUUCCUCUUCUCUCAUAUCUCUUCUACUGUCCCGUUUUCUCUCAAGUAUCUCCCAUUUUCCCCCACACCUGUCCAUUUUCCUCAAAUCUUGAAAUCUCACAUCUUGAAAUUUUAAAAUUAAUUUGAUAUUUUUUCUAAUGUUUUCUAAUACAAAAUCGAAGUUCCAACAUAUAUUAGCAAAAGAAAAUGCAAGUACGUACGUACCCAAUCAUGGCAAGAGACUAGGAAAUGGUCAGCUCCAUUACUUCUAUUCCAAUAUGGAUAUUUAUUUGAAACAACGUAGAUGUAGUCUGUGACCAAUCGUUGAAGCAUGUGACCAGAGUAGUCAACAGGAGGAGAGUAGAUAUAGUGAGCAAUGCGAGUUACACUUAUUGGGAUGUAAAAGACAUGAGCCACAUCAGGAUGACCCGCCAUGAAGUGGCUGUCUCCACUUUCCAUCUCAUCCAUAAAUUGCCCUUCAAUGCCAUAGAUGCUAUUUUUUGGCCCACCAUGCACUAGGGGUUGGUCUCCCUCCUUGUAGGUCCAUAUCUUGAAUCUCUUCUCCAUUUCUAUGUGACUCCUAUUAUGCAAUCAAAGGAAUUACUUGCAUGAAAGUUAAUUUUGAUUGAAAAACUAAAUGAAAAAAAAAAAAAGAAGUUGAGUAAAAAAUACACAAUUCAUACAUUGAUAAAUAUAUAUAUAUAUAUAUAAAAGAUAUUUAGGUUAAGUAGAUUAUAUGUAUAUAAUAUAAGAAUGUAAUUAACAACAAUAUCUUAGUGCUGAGUGGAGCUCAAUCUGAACGUGAGAGUUCGACACCUAUACAAGCCACCAACGUGGCUGGGCUGCAUCCUUAACUAAAUUUGGGCACGUGGCUCAUGAUAUCAAACUUUUAUAAAAGCCAAAAACACGAGGAAAAAAAAAAAAGGCCUAACAUUUCGGUGAGGUUUUGAUAAACUUAUGGUUGGGAGAUCAAUGAAAUCGACUUCACAUCUUCUACAAAUGAAUAAAAUGUCACUAAUCAUUCGCCUUUCCGGAAACUUUGAGACAAUUUUUAAAAAUGAAAUAUGGAUUUUCACUAGUAAAAUAGUGUAGUGUGAGCUUAACUGAUGAAAUGCGUAUGGAUUUCUGUAAACAGCUCCUCUAGGGAUGAAAUUUUCUUUCUUUUGUGAAGUAUAAUUGCUUGAACGAACUGCUUCACGUAUUGCCGCUCGUGCACUUGCCAGACCACGUUCAAUUCUCUCCAAAGGACUCAUCUUUUCCUACAAGACACACAAAAAAAGAACAAUAAAAUCAAUCUAAGAAGAACAGCAGCAGUACUGGGUGCAAUUAAAGUUAUGGUAAGUCCACCCACCACAGUGGUAGUGGAAGUUGAGGGAACCCCAUGCGUGGAAACAUUUCCCAGAAACGAAGACGCUUCUGGGGUCUGGUGUUUGGUCUGUGAAUGAUUGGGAGUUGAAGAAGAAGAUGGAUGGAAGCGGAGAUCAGGGUUUUGAUUUAUGGGUGACAGAAAAAAGAUGGAAAGAAGAAGAAGAAAGAGAAGAACAGGAAAUACUAUAUAUGGUGUUGAACUCAAUGUUGCCAUAUAUAUUUCAAUUUUCUCUCUGUUCUGUCACUCCUCUUUGAAGGGUUGAAGGAGGUGGAGACACGUUCAGACAUGGAGUAAAACAAAAUUUAUGAAUGGUUUUUCCUUUGUUCGGUCCGUUACGCAUCCAGUGACGUACUCAUUUGGGCGGUCCAAUCUAAUGUCUGGAAUCAUUCCACCUUAUGUGAGUAUAACAUUAAGAAGCGUCACGGUCCCUUUUUUAGUUCUAUGACUCACCCAUAUACCACUCACUUGAUUAUGAAGAAGAAAUUAAAGAGUGUUCACCGUUUAGCAAGGCCAUUGCAAAAAUUAGGAUUUGUUUUGAUACAUUUUGGAAAAUUGUUUUCAAAAAAUAGUUUUGAAAUCGAUUUUUAAAAUAUUUCAUAUUUUUUUAAAAACACUUUAUUUUUUAAACUAGUUUUCAAAAAAUUGUUUUCUAUUUAAAAAAUUUGUGAAAAACAUAGAAUCUCUUCUUAUUAUAAUUAAAAUAAGAUUUUCCAUUAUCAUUGACUUCUGUAGAGCCUCCUUGACAAUUGUAUUGUGUAACUAAUUUGUAAUGAAAUCUUCCAUCUCAUAAUAAGUAAUAAUCACUAAACAUUACAAAUCCUAAAAAAUCCAAAGCAAUCCCAAAGUCUUAAAAUUAUAUUCUAAUUGUAAAUAUGUCUAAAAAUACAUGCAUUUACACACUAAAUAUACACUGAAAUGCUUGACAUUAAUUAGAGGGUACUUUUGUUGCAAGGCACUACUCGAAGGAUAUGUAAGUUUAAAUGAUAACUUUGGUAGUACAAGAUUGUUGUAAUUAAGUUACUUUCAAUCAUCGUUAAUUGGCCACUUUAUUCAAACAACAACAACAAUAGGUAUAUGAAACAAAUUCUAAUAAUUAGUGUGAAUUGAGUGUAUACCAGUUAGUGUUAGCAAUUAGAGAAAAGUGCUCUUUGUAGCCUGCAUCAAUAUUUUUGAGACCAAUACUUAAGAUUGAUUUGAUGUACUUAUAGAAUUUAUUAAUGUAAAAGAAAUACUCAAAUAGGGAAAUGAAGAGAGUUAGGAGAUAAUGUUGGAAUGGAAGAGAAUGAGAGAGGGAAAGUAUAUAAAAAAAAAAUUGUGAGAGGAAAUUAAUAUAAAAUUUUAAAUAAAAAACCUUGAUUAUUCUAAAGUUAAUACUUUUGAAAAGUUACUUUUUUUUUAAUGUGUUUUUUAAACUAUUAUCAAAGUUAUUUAUAUUCUUUUGAAAAUCACUUCUGACUACUCUCAAAUAUGUAUGUCAAAGUACGAUUUUGUAAGUAUAAGGAGUCGUUUGUAAUUUUAAAAUUAUGAUAAGUCAUGGUUAAACUACAAAGAUGUGAUCUUAGUUGUAUAAAGGAAAUGAAGAGGUUUAGAAGUUAAAUAAAAACUUUUUAGGCAAACCCUUUCACUCGAUAAAUGCUUGAAAAAAGAGGUUGAUGAUUUUUAUUUUUAUUUUUUCCGAAAACUAGAAGGGAGUACUAGGUGAACUUAAAUUGAAAUUUGAUUUAAUAAGAUAUGCAAAAAGUGUUGGAAUAAGGAGAGUCCCUUAGGCUCUCUUGUUUUUAUAAAAAGACCCUUAAUUAAGUUAACACCACCAAGAUUAUCUAUAAGUGUUUUCAACCAAAGAAUUUUCAAUACAAACACAUUUUGAUUAAACCUAAUGCUUCAAACUUAUGAGUUAACCAUGUGAAAUCUUUAAAAUCUUCUAGCAACCUAUUUGUUUGUCCUAUUGCAGCAUUAAAAGCUCAAUAAUAAACGUCUCAAGUCAAAAUGGCUUUCACCAUCAAGUGUUCGAGAUACCCUCAAAAGAGCUUGUAAACUUCAAUUUCCAAGCAUUUAGGCAUGAUAUAUAAAUCACUUGUGAUAUCCUUAAAACCUUUAUUACUUAUUAACUUGCUAAACUCAUAACAUUAAGGAUUCAAUAGUGACCAUCUCUAGUUAAAUAAUUCUCAAUUAUUAAGCACUUGAGAUACCCUCAAGGGGGCCUUUAAGCUCUAAUUUCUAAGUAUCAAAUAAUGGUUUUCUAAUUAAAAACAAAUGAUCCAACUCAUAAAAUGAAUAUAUCAUUAAAUGUCCAAGAUUUAGAGUCAUUUCAUGGGCACAAGGGAGGUCCUAAGGACUCCCAUCUCCUAAGCUUAAAUCACUACUCACAAAAUAUAAAAAUAGAAUGAAAAAUGAAGAACAUAAGUCAAGUAUAAGGAAAUCAUCAUUAAAAACUUGAGCUUCAACUUCAAUAUUGUACCAAACCAAAGCUUAAAAGUAAGUACAUCUAAAUAUACUCAAAGGAAAGAAGUUUGAGAGAUUACAAGCAACUAAAAGGCGCAAAACAAUAUAAAAAAUUGAAAUUUUAAUAGCAUGUCCCAAAGUUGGAGGUUGAUGAAGAAGUGCUCCCCACUAAAGGGCUUCCUCUAAAAUCCUCCUUCUCCAAUUGCAAAAUCUAUUUAGAGAUGAUCCCAUGUUGCCCUAAGUGGUAUACCACAUAGAGUCAUAAAAAAUAAAGUGUGAGAUCCAAUGGUGGCUUCAGAUAAGCCCAAAAAUGUAGGUCUCCCAUGUUCUUCGAGUUCUAGAACAAAAUGAUGACAGUUACAGAGAAAAUGGCACUAGGUUGUAAGGUGGACAUCUUCUACUCAAAUUGGCAGCGCCAUUAUGAAAAAAGACACCAAACUACAAGGUGGUUCCAUUUUUCUUCGAAUGCUCCUUAGCUCCUUCAACGUUUUUCUUAUUUUUCAUCAAUCUUUUAUAAUUUUUUUUUGUAUAUAUAGAUAGAAGACGUUGAAAUAUUCUUAAAAUUGGUAAGAUUGAUCUUCAAAGAGUAGAAAUUAGAAAAAAUUACUUGAAUUCAUUUGGGCAUUUUUAACCUCCUCAACUGUCCUCAAACUUUUGAUUGGUUGAAGGAGGAUGACACCAUUGAAUUUCAUGCAACUUUGAUCCUUUGACUCCACUCAUACUCCAGUAAUGCUCUUGCAUUCCAAAUAUUCCAAGAAGUUUCCAACAUCAUCAUUAUUCAUGAAAAUAUAUGUAAACAUAUCAAGAAGUAAUGAAAAAUAUGAUAAAACUAAGCAUAUGCAAGGUUUCUAUCAUAUUCAAAUAUAAAAAAAUUAUUCUCCUUUCCAUUUUUUUCUUGCUUAACUUUCUUCGUCUCUCCUUUACUUUUGGCCAACAAAAAUUGACAAAAAUAAAAAUUGAUAAUAGAAUCAUUAUCGGUUAAUUUAUAUAUAUAUAUAUAUAUAUGUAUAUAUAUACAUUCAUAAACUCAUGCUAAUAGUUAAUUUCAAGAAAUAGAAUUGUUCAUAGAAAACAAUAACUUGGGUGACAUUUGGAUACAAUUCCUUUUCCUUUUUUUUUUUUUUUUGUAACUUUUAGAAAUAGAAAAUACUCCUAUUAAAAGUAUAGGAACUUAUGUACAAAAAGUAAAAAAAAUUAUCUUAUAUUCUUAACAACUAUUUAACAGAAGUAAAAAUAUUUUACUUAAUUUCUUCAAUUUAAAAAAAUUUAUGAAGUGUUUUCAACAAUCCUUGUUUUUGUAUAAGGAUUCCUAUAGACUUUAAUAUGAUACUUUCUAUUCUUAAAUAAAAAAAUAAAAUAAUGUAUCCAAACAUCACCUUAUCAAACAAAAAAUAUGGAGCUAUCUUAGGAGGUAAUUGUGAGGAAAACUAUUAUCUAAAAUAUAUAUAUAUAUAUAUACAUUAUGACUACUGGGCUCCACUCAAGCACACCAGUUCCACACUCAAUACACUCAGAAUUUGGAAGAGAGCUACAAUAAAUUGCAAUGAAGAACAUUUCAAAACUAAUGAUAACUCCUCAGAACAAUUAUUCUCAAAUUAUAAAUUCAAAAUUUCACAAUUCAAUUAAGCCACUCCAGGAUACAUCAUGUAACAACAAAUUGAAGACAGAAGAAAAACAAUAUCAAGAUGGCAACCUAACAUUAAGGCGCCUCAGCCACACCGAAUGAAGAAUCAUAUGAAGCAUAUCGUAGGGCCUCGCCGGCCGGUUUAUCGCGAAAUGCCGCUGCACUUGCUUCACCCUCUUUUGCAUUUCCAAAUACGUCUCAGUCGGAACCGCUUUCAAAAUCUUCUUGAUUUCCGGUAUCUUAUCGGAAGUAAUAUAUAUGGAGAACUUGCUCCAAUCAAGAACAUCGCUGAACGGCAAGGAGUAGUGAUCGCAAAUUAUCAUAGGCACACAGCCGGCAGCGAUGGCUUCUACUAUUCUGGGGCUGGCGACUUCGUAUCCACUGGGACACAGGCAAAACUUGCUGUCCCCCAUUGAUUUACUAUAGUUUCGAUUACGGGGAAGGCGCUCAAAAACCUGGACUUCGUCAUCUUUCUCUUUCCAGUACUUGAACAAGACACUCCGUACGUAACCAUGAGCGCCCCCGGCGAAGAAGGCAAGGAUGGGACGCUUGUUGGGGGGCUGGUCGAGGUGGGGCGGACCGAGCUUGCCGCGGGGUAUGUUGAUUUCUGGGAUUGAGAUGUCUCUGAUGGGGUGGAACCUUUCGGAGGUGUUGGCAUUGCAGAGGGCUCUAAUGAAAUGCUUGUAGAGAUCAGGCUUUAGAGCUGAAACGUCUGGUGCCUGAGAUUUCAACAUAUAUGAUCUUAAGUCAAUUUAAAAUUUUUCUUUUCUUUUUCAUAUAAAUCUUAAUUAAAUUCGAAAGAAUUGCAAGGGAUCCCAAAAUAUUCAUCAUACGUAAUGGGGAAAAUGUAUAUACCCAAUCAUGACAAGAAACCAAGAAAUGGUCAGCCCCCUUGCUUCUAUUCCAAUAUGGAUAUUUAUCUGCUACAAAGUUGAUAUAGUCUGUGACCAAUCGUGGAAUCCAUUUACCAUGGUAAUGUGGAGGCUCGUAGAUAAAAUGAACUACUCUAGUUAAACUCAUGGGGAUGUAGAACGCAUUCGCCUCGUCGGGAUGACGAGCCAAAAAUUGGCUCUUUCCACUUUCUAUCUCAUCCAUGAAUUGCCCUUCGAUUGCAUAGAUGUCAUUUGAUGGUCCGUCAUGCAUUAGGGGUUGAUCUCCUUCUCGGUAUGCCCAUAUCUUGAAUCUUUUCUCCAUCUCUAUAUGACUCCUAUUAUAAAAUUGAAAAAAUUAAUUGUGAAAAUUGAUUUAAUUGAAUAAUAAUAAUAAUAAUAAUAAUAAUAAUAAUAGAUUGUUUUUGUUAAUAACAAUCUAUAGUAGCACUUUUUUUUAAAAAAAAAUUUAUUAGGGAGAACAUGUUGGUCUUUAGAUAUAAUAAUAAAAAAGUGUUUUUUAGUCUUACUUUACAUAAUAAAAUUAUAAUUUUUAGAAAAAAAAUACUUAUUAAGAACACGCGCAUGUUUUUUUUAUUUUUAUUUUGGAGAGAUAUAAACUAAGAAAGUAUAAUUUUUGGGAAAAAAAAAAUCUUACUAAAAGCCCAUUUGAAAAUGAUUUUAAAAGAGAUUCAAAGCAUUUUCUAAUAAUGGAAAGUGUUUUCUUACAAAAAUGUGGUGUUUAAUAAAUUUUUGAACACACUAAAAAUUUAAAGAAUCAGUUGAAGUGAUUACUUGACAAUUAAUACUACGAUUUUCUUUGAAAAUUCAUUCGAUCUUAUUCUAAUAAAAAACAUUAGAAAAUUAUUUGUUUUUAAGUUUAUACUCAAACACCAAGUAAGAAUGUGUUUGAUAGUAAUUUUAUGAAAUAUUUCUUAUAUUUCUAAUAUUUCAAAAGAUAAAAAUUUUCAAAUGUUAGAAAAGGUAAAAACACUUCCUAAAAUUACUAUAAAAUGCAUUCUAGAAGUGUGUUUGAUAAUAAUUUUAAAAAACAUUUUUAGUAUUUCUAACACUUAAAUAAUAAAAAUUUUUAAUUAUUAAAAAUGUUAGAAACACUUUCUAAAAUUAAAAAUACUUUCUAAAAUUAUUGUCAAAUAAUACUAAUUUAUUUUUAAAAGUGUUUAUAAUAAAAAUAUAAUUAAUAAGAACACUACACAUAAAAUCAUUUAUUUAUUGUUAAAAGCGAGCCUCAAUAAGUAGAAAGUAGUUAUAACUUUUCACUCGUCAUUUCACCCUAUAAAAAGGAGUUAUUUAAGUUGAUAAAUGAGAUUUAAAAAAAAAAAAAAAAAAGCAGAGAAAAAAAAGAGAUGGAUUUUAGUAAAUGUAAUUUUCAUUCAAUAAAAAGAACAUGCAUGUAAAGUAGGUGUAUUAUGAGACUAAGAGAAGUAUAUAAUUUCAUGAUGGCAAAAAUUGAUAAAGAAAAUAUGAUAUUUAAUUAACUAAUAGAAUGUAAUUAUUAUUUUGUCGUACUGUUUUAUUUAUUUUUAUUUUAAAAAAAUAUUACUAGCUAUUAUUAAAAUGUAAAAAUCUUGUAGAAAAAUAGAAUUUACUUUCUUUUCUUGCACAUUAGUAAAAUUUUAAAAAUUUGAGAUAAUAAAAAAAUUUUAGUGCUUAUAUUUUUUAAACUGUUUUAAAAAUUAUUAUUUUUUAAAGUAAAUGUCUAUUAUUUUGUAAAUGUUUUUUAUAAAAACAAAAACUAGUAUAGGUUGUUAAUUAACCUAAAUCAUUUUGACAUAAGCAAAGGUGAUAUGUGACUUCUUAAUAAUAGUACUAAUAAUAAUAAAUAAAUAAAUAAAAAUAUGAUUACCUACAAUAAAUACCUAAUAUGCAAAAAAAAAAAAAAAACAAAAUGUCACUAAAACUAAUCAAGUUGUUGGAAUGGACUGAAAAUUACAUAGAUAUUAACACAAAAAAAAAUGGAAAAGAAAAGAACAUGAAAUACAGAUUCCAUAGUGCAUUAAGUGAUUAGCCAACAAACAAUCCAAUAUUAUGAAUAAACUGAAUCACCUUCUUGACCUUUGAAAGCCUCAUGUCUUCCUAUGAGAUUUUUCAAUACCAUUACUUGAUUAGGACAAUCUUCUUAAGUCUUUUUGCAAGCAUUCUCCCACCAUUAACAUCAAAAAAUUAUCAGUCUAUGCUAUAAGAAAUAACUUAUUUGAAAUUCUAAAAAGUAAAAAUAAGAAAAAUAAUACUUUCUCUUAAAGUUACUUGUAUUCAAAUGGUAAAAUAUAACCAAAAAUAUGUUAUUUCACACACAUGAAAUGUUACCUGCACUCUAGGGAUCGACCAUGAACUGCAACUAUCAGCAAAGUUUAAUUCUUCAUAAUUACAUUAAGAAUGAAAACGAUAUGAAUUUGUUCCUACUUAGUUUCAAUCAUAUUCAAUGGACCAAUUUAAUCCAAAUCCAAAAUUAAACUUACUAUAAAUUCAAUACAUGGAAGUGUGUCCUAGAAAUCAUAUAUAGAAAAGACGUGGAAUUGUACUCUACACCAAUUUAUCAUAGCACCAUCAAUGAGGCGUGUGGAAAAAAAAAAUGAAAAUGAAGAGGAUCCUUAUUAUUGUUACUGAUAUAAAUGGUAGGCCACGUCACAAUUAUUAAGAAUAUUCAUAAAUUAUUUUAAGAUUUCUUCCAAUGUUGCCAAGGUUUUGGCUUUUCUCAAUUUGCAUGCACACAAUUGACUCAACAUAUAUAAGUAACAGCUGUAUAUACCCUCUACGAAUUAUACAAGACUUUUUAGUUUAAAUAUUUUUAUUGGUUUUUUUUAAUUAAAUUUGGUAAAUAAAUAAUUUAAAUUUUGAUAAAAAAAAAUUACAUUACAAGCCAUCAGAAAGAAACACCCUUUUAUGGGUUAAUGAAACAAAGAUUGAACUGUUCUUAGACUAGGUAGGUAGGAUCAUCAAUUUGAGACUUUCUAGAUGUCUCCUUUUGUCAAAAUAAUGUUUCAAAAUUUUAAAUAAAUAAAGUGGAGGUUAAUAUUUUAUCAUCGAUUUUUUUUUUAUUUCUUAUUUGAUAGAAGAAAAUGAAAGGCAUUCCAAAUUGAUAAUUGUAAAAGUGUUAUUAGAAAUGUUUUCAUGGACAAUUUAAUGAGUAUUUAAAUAUAAAUUCAAUUGGUGUACUUUUUUUUGUGAAAAGAAAAAAAAAAUUGGAAGAAACAUUUAAUGAAUACCAAUAAAAAAAGAUACUUUAAAAGAUUUAUUUAUUUAAAUUUUUUCAAAUACUCAAUUUUUAUUAGGAAAAUAUAUUUAAAUAUUAAUUAACAGGGCAGAUCUAAUGCAUGCCAAAAGAAGCAUAUGCCCCUUUAAUUAUUAUUUUUUUAAAUUAUCAUUAGAUUAUAAAUGCUUUUUGUUCAUUUUUGCCCCGCCAAAAUCAAGAGUUAGAUGUUGCCCACUGUUAAGUCAUUUGCUGGUUUGGUCACUGGUAGCUAAGGUUUCUAAAUCUUCAAGAUGGCUCCUAAAAUGUACUUUUUACUUCAAUUGUCCUUUUUAUUGUUAUGUUUAAUUUUAAAAUCAUAAUAUCAUAUGAAACUACAAUCAAACUAAGAUAAGUUUCUAAAUCAUAUAAUAGAAGCAUUUUUUAUUUAUUUAAUUAUUUCUUAAUAAAUUUUGAAUUAUGAGCCGAAUCUAAGAAUAUAAGUUAGGGAUAGUUUCUUCUUCAAACAUGCAUUACGAAAUGCCACAUUGCUUUGUCAACAAAAUCAUGGUUUUUCAACAUCAUAUUCUACUUACAAAAAUCUUUCAAGAUGUAAGGUUCCUAUUUAAUCAAAUUUUCCUGCAUAAUGAAGCCACCAAAGAGAUUAAUCCAAAGAUUAAUAACUAAAUAAAGAUGAUGCAUGUCUCUAGUUUAGAAAUUAAAUUGUUCUUCCUCGAUAGAAUGAAUUAGCUUUGAACUUAACUGAUGAAAUGCAUACGGAUUUCUGUAGACGUCUCCUCUUGGGAUGAAGGUUUCUUCCUUUUCUGAAGAAUAAUUCCUCCUCUGAAUCGCCCUGCGUAUUGCCUCUCGGGCUCUCGCCAGACCUUCUUCAAUCCUCUCCACAUGACUCAUUUUCUCCUAUAAAAUUGCACCCAAAAAAGAAAAGAAAAGAAAAGGAAAAACAAACGGUUAAUGAACGAAAUUGUUAUUAAGCUUCAAACCAAACAGAAAUCAUUGCUGAAGUGGUAGAUUAUCACGCACUCUGAAACGCUUCCUAAUCUCGUUAGUUGCACUGGCUCCAUCAGUGGAAGUUGAGGGAACCCCAUCUGCAGAAUCAUUUUUCGGCAACAGAGAUGGGGACGAUGAGGUUUGAAGGGUUUGGUGAGUUGUCUCUGAAAGGUUUGAAUCCGUAGGGAGCAAAUGGCGGAGGAUGUUUUGGUUUCGAUUUAUGGGUGACAGGUACAAAGGGAUGAGAACAAUGAGGAAGAGAAUAGCUGGAAAUAUUACGAACCGUGUGGGACUCGAUGUUGCCAUGGCUUCUUCACUUUUUCUGUCUUCUUCUCCACUCACUUUCGUGAAAGGGUAUGAGCGAUAGAUAUGGUUAUGAUACAGACAUAGAGCAUAGAAUGGAACCAAAUAUCUGUAGGUUUUUUUAUUCUGGUUCAUCACGCACUCUUGCUGCUAUUGUCCAAAUUCUAUAUGCGGGACUUACCUUUAGAGUAAUGCUGUCCAAAUUAUAUGAGUGGGAACCACCUUUUGAUGACUUGUCAAAUGGCAGACCAUCUGGUAAACAACAAAAGAAAAUCAUGAUUCUUAAUUAAAAAUAGAAAGACUGUAGGAAGGCUGACCAAGGCCAACAUGAAGGCAGCCUAAGAUUAAAUACAAGGGCUCUUUUCAAAUUAGGUUUGCUUGUAAGAGUUUUGUAAGGGUCUAACAUAAGACUCAAAAUAUUAGUAUCUUUGUUUUGGUUAAUUAUCUUGUAGAAUUUAAUUCCUUUUUUGUACUUUUCAUAACUUGUAGAGAAAUUUCUUCUUGUGUUUAAUUCAAAUUUAUUACAUUCAAAUUGUGGUUUGAAAUUGUCUUUGAACACAUUUUUAGUUAAAAGCAAAAUAUUGUCUCAAAGAAUGAUGACGAAGAUGGAAAGCUUAAUGGGUAUAGUAGAGAGAUAUGUAAAGCUUUCCAAAUUUGAGAUUGAUCAUAUGAAUGGUUGAAAGUGCCUUCUUUAUCAAUAGAAUUAGCUAGAGGUUGAAUGAUAAUACAAUACUUCAAUAUCAAAAUUUAAAUUUAUUCCUAUGCUCCUUCUAUUUUAACAAUAAUUGGGAAUAUGGCAAUAAUCAAUUCACAUGAGGUAUACAUGAUGAAAAAAUUACCUAUAUAUUUGAAUUUUCAAGAAAUUUUGUAGAUAUAAAAUCAUAGGUCAAUUAAUCAUCGGAGAUAAAAUUUACUAAAUAUUAGCAUAAUGUAAAUACUCUUAUAUGAUUUGCAUGCACCUACACUUAAAAGGGCUUUUACAAAUCAAUAUUUAUACUCUUUUUUCACAUUUCUAAUGUAACAUCUCCUACUUCUUAAUGGAUCACGUCAUUUUCGUGUUAAGGUUGUGAAUCAAUAUAGCACAUGUAUUUCCACUUAAAGGACUUUCAUGACAAAUACUUGAAAACUUUCAAAGUUUAGUGUUUAAAAGUAGAACAGUAGUUAUAUCCUCAAUUUGUGCAUCUCAUAGUUAAGACCACGGAAUAUUAUUUAUAGAAAAAUCCUAAAUGAUUUAUUCAAAGUAUAUAUAGAAGGUACGAUAUUAUUAAGAAGGACCAUUUAAACUAUUAAAAAAAAAAUUAACUUCUAUACAAGUUUGCCAAGCACUCAAACCACUCAUAGAGAGACUUUUAAAUGCCUUUUAAGGUAGUGUUAAAUGCCUUUUUACUUAGAGUUUUAAUUACUUUCCAGUUUUAAUAGCCCUUGCAAUGUAAUAAUACUCCAAACAUGCACUUACCCCAAUUGAAAUCAAUGUCUGAAUAACUUGAUCAUGAUCAUAAAGACCUAAGAAACUAAUUAGCGCUAGAAUCAAUAUUUAAAUAUAAUAAAAUUGUCAACCUAGUUUGAAGCACUAAUAGUUCAUCUAUUUGAUAAUUUUAUAACAAAAUAUAGAUUGUAAUGAACCCUCUCAAACUCUUAAAAUAAUGUUUACUACUGCCACAUGGAAUAGAAUCUUAAUCAUAAUAUGCAUUCCCUUCCCUCCUCGCUUAUUUUCAUAAAAACGAAAAAUUAUUCCAUUUUUGUGAAUCUUUCUUAGCACACUACCUAUGACCUAAACACACUCAAACAAAGCUAGGAAAAUUAGUGUAUGAAAAGCAUGUAAAAAAAAUGACUAGUGAACUUUUUUAUUUUUUAUUUUUUGUCACAAAACUAUUAAAGUAGAAAAUGUAGCUAAAAAAUAAUAAGCAUCGAGAAGCAGGAAGACAAAUAUAACCAAUAAUGAGACACAAGCAUCAUCAAAUAAACAUCAUUGAUCAUAUCUAGAAUUGUAAAGGCAUAACUAUGUCAUCCAAUAUAUAAUUAAAAGAGUAUUUGAACACAAUCCGUGAUAUCUAAAAGGAAUAGUCAAAUACAUCCAAAAAGAAGACAACUCAAUCCUAACCAAAUAUACUAAGGCUAUAUUUGGUUCCCGGAAAAUGCGAGAGAAAGAAAAUUGGAAGGAAAAAUGGAAGGAAAGAAAAAGGUAAGGAAAGUAAUAUAAAUUUUUUCACUUGUUUGGUUAUCCAUGAAAAAUUCAAGGGAAAAAAAUUUAUUUUCUUUUGUUUGGUUAACUAUGAAAAAUAAGUCAAGAAAAAAUGAAAGGAAAAUAAAUUCAAUAAUUUGUUUAAGAUGAUUAUCAAUUUAUAGAAUAAUAAAAUAAAUUUCAUAUUCGUAUUUUCUAAAAAUCAGAGGAAGACCCAAUUUUCCAAUCUUCCAAGAUGGAUUCUAGAUGGACCAAAUCGAAGAUCCUUCACAAUUGAAGGGUCUCAAAUAAAGCAAAGCACCAAGCCUGGGAGAGCUGGACGCCGCGGACGACGGGGAGGGGGAUGAAGCGGUAGAGGAGGGACAUGAGGCUGGUGGCGCCGAAGAUGAAGAGGGUGGCGGCAGUGGAGAGACUCGCGACAGCGAUUUGGGGGAGGGAGAGGAGGGGGUCAGAGAUGGCGACGACAGCGAUGGACUUCAUGGGUUGGAUAGGCAUUGGGAUGCUGAAGAGAAAGCCGGUGGAGAUGUUGUAGAGAGCCGUGAAGAUGAGGGUUGUGGAGAGGUCCAGAUGGUUGACCAGUGUGAGAGUUAGGACGAUGGGUAUGUAGGUGCCCAGGUCGCCCACAGAGCCCCCGAGCUCGACGGAGAGAGUGGUUUUGAGACGGAAGGAGCUGAACCACCACCGGCUGGGGCGGAUGAGAGUGGUGGUGGAAGGUGUGUCGUCGGCCAUGAAGGCAGCACAGUCAAAGGACUGAGUUUGUGAAUUCAGUUUUGCGGUGAGAGAGACAGACGAGGGCCGGAGGGGGCAUAGCAACCGGUGAAGAGCCCGAUAAAUUUUCCUUCCUCUUUUUCUCUUAUUUUCCUCGUUAUCUUUUAAGGAAAAUAGUAAGAAAAAUAUUAUGAUAUUUUCCAUCAUAUUUUCCUUUAUAUUUUUUUUCCAUCAUAUUUUCCAUGUAAUCCAAACUAAAGAAAAUGAUUUUCCACAUGAUUUUUUUUCCUUUCCUUAGCAUUUUCCAGGAACCAAACAUAGCCUAAUAGUCCAUAUUCAAGAGUGGGAAAUAUAUGCAAGCUUAGACCAAAUUGAGAAGUAGCCUAAAUUUAGGGAAAAAUUAAAAUUUCGUACUACAAGAAAACAUGCUUUUCCUAGUGAAAAUUUAGGAACAAAAUAAAUUUUUGUCACUAAAAAUAAUUUUUCUAAUAAAAUUCCAAAUAUUGUCACUAACACCAAAUUUUUGACAAAUUUUCAUGAUGAAAUUGAAAUUUCUCCUGCCAAAAUAAGUGGCAGAAAAUUUAGAUUUUUUUUCUCUUUUGUAUAAACAGAGUUAUGAUGAUUUAAUAAACUUAAUCCUACCACAAGUAAGAAUCAAUCUAAAGAAAAUAGUUAGGAUGUUAUCAAAGAGUUGGGUGCACUAAAGGAUUUGUAAGUGAAAGAAUUAAUGCACUUGAGUAGAGAGCUUUGCAUGAGAGAAAAUAAAUGGUAACAAAUAAACGCAAGUGUUCUCUUGGUCAAUAAAUGUAUAAGAACUCUCUAAUUUAUAGAAAAACUUCUCAGGCACCCAAAAUUUAGCAAAAAGUGCUAAAUUGGUUGAGCUUCAAUUCAAUCGAUUGGAUAGUAAUUGGGGCAUUUAAUGCUCUAUAGGCAACCAUUGGUGAGAUUUAGCUUUGAUCGAUUAAACACUAGAUAUUGGAAAAGAAAAGAUUUUUUAACAACUUUGCUUAGUCUGAUUCAUGCCUAAUUGGUGUCUCAGCUGAUUCGUGUCCAGCUGGUGCUCCUUGAUUGAGGGAGUAAUCAACAAAAUUUAUAACCUAUAACACCAUAUACUAGGGUAGCAAAGAAAAAGCUACUAUAGUAUAGUGGCUCUAGGAUCGUUCACUGGGAAGGAUUAGCAAGCUAUCAAUGAUACCAAUUCAAAGUGAAUUGAGCUUGUUUCAUUUCAAGGUUAGCUUAAGAAAUAAAACAUAAACUUUGAUUGGUAAAGAUUUAGACUUAAACUAGCUAACACAAUAAGUAAUGGGAAAAACUUAGGAAGACAAACAUUCCUUGGAGAGUUAGGUUUACUGGGGUGGUUCCUCGUGCAAAAGACAUAGUUCCGGUCAGAUGGUUCAUUUCCUCGCGUUAGAGAUUCAACAUAUAGUCAAUUCUUUAACCGGUGUUGUACAGAUACAUCCUUCAAUUAGAUUUCACUUUAAUUCUCUCAUUGAUGCAACUUGCAAUGGUUUAAGCCUCUCACUAAGCCUUAACCAUUCAAGGUGAUCUUUAACCUUGGAUUACCCGUCAAAAGCUCGCAAGAGAUAACUAAUGGAUGUCUCCUUGGAGUCUAAAAGCUUAGCAAGUGUUGGCUAUUCUAGAAAAUCCUACCCUAAAGUCACCUCCUAGAGGCUCGCAAGGGGUAAACUAGUGCAUUUCCACGGUUGGAAAUCACUUGCCUUACCAAGUGUUGGCCCAGGUGACUCUAAGGUGUUUUAAGUUAACUAAAAACAUAGAAAUCACUAAAGGAUUUCACUUCCUCUUCAUUACUUGCUAAAACCACAAAGCUUUGCAUUCUUGCACUUGGAACCUUCCCCAGCAACCUUAGCUCCAAGGAACUAGAGGUUUAGUUACUCAUCCUCUGGGGAAAACUCCUCAGAGAGUUCAUAACUUAGUAAGAAAUAAAUAAUACAAAGUGAGAAGGUAAGGCAAAACAAAGGCCUGAACUUUACUUGCUUUCCCAAAACUUUACAAAGGAUCCCCCCUUGAGAACAGGCUCCCGAGAGGUAUUUAUAUGAACAUAAUAUAAAACUAAUUAUUACAUAGAUAUUUUCUCUUUUUACUAACUUAAAAGCUAAGGAAACUUGUAAUUGGUGGCUUACAAGGAGUAUUUUGGGAUUUUGACAACAAAAAUCUGAUGUAAAAUAUCUCCCAAUGUCGGUAGCAAAUAUCGGGAUGCUCCAGGAACCAUUUCGCAAGAGAAAAUGGUGUCUGCGAGAUUUCGCAGACACUCAAGAAGGGCUGCGAAAUCACUUCGCAGCAAAAGGCCAUUCUCGCAGGGCUGCGAAGUUGGCUUCCACCUUGAGGUUCCCAGCUUCCUCCUUGCGGCAUAUAUCGGGCAACUUCAGAAGGAAAUACACCCUAUUGUACAAAAAGGCUGCGAAAUCACUUCGCAACAAAAGGGUGAUUUCGCAACACUUUGCAAAAUGCUUCCUUCAGCUUGGAGUGAUUGGCUUGCAAUGACUACAACUUCUUCGUUUCAACUCCGAAUUGCACACCGUUUGAAGCAUUGGAUUGUUGACUUCCUGAGCUUCGAAACGACAUAUAGCAUGCAUAAAUUGGACUUCAAGAAGUGCUCCAAAAGUGGCUGCCAUGACUGUCAUCAAGAAUAUGCUUCAUGGCAGAUUCUCUUUACUUUUUCUCAUUGCAUUCCGGAUUUACUCUUGGCAAAUGACUUCCAAGCUUUUCCCAAGAUUCCUCAUAACUCUCCUCAAUCUUGAAUUGCUUUGGUGAUCAAAUUACUAACAAAAACAUCAAAACUUACACAAAGUGAUUAAAAUUGCUUUCAAGGGUCCUUAACAUGCCAAUUGAGUUAAAAGGCCAAAACUACUACUCAAAAGUGUUUAAAAGGAUUAAUUAUAAGCUAUCAAAUAGCACUUUUUGAGUAGUAAUCAUAGUCCUCAUCAAUUGAGAAAGCUUAGGCGAUUGAACCGGUUCCUUAAUUGAUUCUAUCAGUUCAAGCCACCCUUGAUUGGUUAAGCAAAAACUAGCUCAAAAAGCUUCUCAUUUUAGCUCUAAUAUUCCAAUAACUUGAACAUUUCAUUUAAAAACCUUUAUAGGAAAUUUUUAAAAGAAUUUAGCCUAAGGUUUUGAGGUAAAAUGCGUAUUCAUCCAUUUUUAAGAAAUUAAGAUCAUUCUUAAACUAUCAAGGUAUGAAUGAAUGCAUUCGAAAGUGCAUGAGAAAUCAAUUUUAUACUAAGCGUACCUAUGAGACUCAUUUUACAUUGGUUCCUAGACAUCUUGAGUCUUCAAGGAUCCAUCUCUUUAUAAUGUUUAAAUUUCUUAUGAACAAUCUUAAGCUUUCUUCUGAAUUUAUCAAUAAAACCUAAAAUUUUAUUUGAUUUAAACAAGUUAGUACACUUAUCCUUGUUUUCUUAUCAUCAAAAUGUAUUUUGGAGAAUCCUUAGGCUAACAUCAAUUUUGAUUUUAAUGUUAAUUUUAGUAAUUUUAAUUAUAGUUUUAGUUGUUAACUUGAAUGUUAGUCUUAGUUUUGACUUUAAUUUUAAUUUUAUUUUUGAACUAAAUUCCAAUCCUCAUCUUAGUCUUAAUUUUAAUUUCAAUUUUGAAAUCAAUUUUAGUUUUGAAUUUAAUUUUUAUUUUUAUUUUAAUCUUCAUUUUAAUUUUAAUCUUAAUUUUAAUUUAAUCUUAAUUUUAAUUUUAAUCUUAUAAUUUUGAUCUUGAUUUUGAUUUUAAUUUUAAUCUUAGAAAUGAAAAGAAAAUUUGUUUUUUAUGAUUAAAAUUCAAAUUGGAGAACAAAAGUUUGAAGAAAACCAACAAAGGAAAAAUUUAGUUUAAUCUUAAUUUUAUUUUUAAUGUUCAUUUUAGUAAUUUUAAUAUGGUUUUAAUCUUUAACUUUAAUUUUUGUCUUAAUUUGGGUGACAUCACAUAUCGGAUAUGGGAGAAAGUUCCUGACGCUAUAUAUGUAGAGGCUCCUCUUAACCUUAUAGAUUUGUUUUAAAGUCGUGAAAGUUCAUUUGGGUCCAGAGUGAACAAUAUCUACAUGGUUGGGUGCGGGUCAUUACAAAUGGUAUCAAAACCGAUCCCUAACCCCGAUGUGGGAGUUUGUUUGGUACCAUAGGGGGUGUUUGUUUGUUUCACCCCAUAAUCUUGUAUGACACAACAAGGAUGUUAUGUUUGCAUAGGGGAGAAAGUUUCUGAUGCUAUAUAUAUAGAAACUCAUCUUAACUUUGUAGAUGCGUUUUAAAGUCGUGAGGGCCCCCUUGGGUUUAAAACGGACAAUAUCUACAUGGUUGGGUGUGGGUCAUUACAAAUCGUAUCAAAGUCAAUCCCCAACUCUAAUGUGGGGGUUUGUUUGGCCCCAUAUGAGGUGUUUGUCUGUUUGACUUCACAAUCCUAUGGAACACAACGAGGACGUUGUGUCUACAUAGAGGGUGGUUUGUGACAUCCCACAUUGGAUAGGGGGGAAAGUUUUUGGCGCUAUAUAUGUAUGGACUCUUUUAACACUGUAAACGUGUUUUAAAACCGUAAGGGCCCCUUUGGGUCUAAAGUGGACAAUAUUUACAUGGUUUGGUGCGGGUCAUUAUAAAUCGUAUCAGAGCCGAUUUCCAACCCUAAUGUGAGAGUUUGUUUGGUCCUAUAGGAGGUGUUUGUUUGUUUGUUUGGCCCCAUAAUCCUGUAAGACACAACGAGGACGUUAUGUCUGCAUGAGGGGUGUUUAUGACAUCUCACAUCGAAUAGGGGAGAAAGUUCCUAGUGCUAUAUAUGUAGAGACUCAUUUUAACUCUAUAGACACAUUUUAAAGCCAUGAGAACCCCCUUGGGUCCAGAGCAGACAAUAUCUACAUGAUUAGGUUGUUACAAAUAGUAUUAGAGUCGAUCUCUGACCCCACUGUGGGGGUUUGUUUAGCCCGUAAGGGGUGUUUGUCUGUUUGGCCCAGCAAUCCUAUGGGACACAACAAGGAUGUUGUGUUUGUAUGAGGAAAUGUUUGUGACAUCCCACAUCGGAUAGAGGAGAAAGUUCUUGACGCUAUAUAUAUUCCUCUUAACCUUGUAGAUGUAUUUUAAAGUUGUGAGGGUCAUUUGGGUCUAGAGUAGACAAUAACUACAUGGUUGGGUGCGGGUCGUUACAAAUGAUAUCAGAGCCGAUCCUCAACCUCAAUGUGGGAGUUUGUUUGGUCCCGUAGGGGGUGUUUGUUUGUUUGGUCUAAUAAUCACAUGGAACACAACGAGGAAAUUAUGUCUUUAUGGGAGGGAGUGUUUAUGGCAUCCCACACUGGAUAUGGGAGAAAGUUCUUAGCGCUAUAUAUAUAGAGGUUUUUCUUAACUCUGCAGACGCAUUUUAAAGCUGUGAAAGCCCUAUUGGGUUAAGAACGGACAAUAUCUACAUGGUUAGGUGUGGGUUGUUACAAAUAGUAUCAAAGUCAAUCUCUGACUAUGAUGUGGGGGUUUGUUUCACUCCUUAUGAGGUGUUUGUCUGUUUAACUCCGCAAUCCCAUGGAAUACAAUGAGGACAUUAUGCAUACAUGGUGGUGGUUUGUGACAUCCCACAUCAAAUAGGGGAGAAAGUUUUUGGCACUACAUAUGUAUGGACUCUCCUCUUAAGUAAGUAGACGUAUUUUAAAGUUGUGAGGGCUCAUUUGGGUCCAGAGCGAACAAUAUCUAUACGGUUGGGUGCGAGUUGUUACAAAUGGUAUCAGUGCCAAUCCUUGACCACGGUGUAGGGGUUUGUUUGGUUCUGUAAUCUUAUGGGACACAACAAAGACGUUGUGAUUGCAUGAGAGAGAGAGAGAGAGAGAGAGAGAGGUUUGUGACAUCCCACAUUGAUUACUACUCAAAAAGUACUCUUUUAUAGCUUGAAACUAAUUGUUUUAAACACUUUUGAGUAGUAGUUAAUACAUUUUAACUCAAUUGGCACAUUAUGGAACCUAGCAAGGGUUACUAAUCAGUUUUUAGCAAGUUUUGGUGUUUUUGGUAGCUAUUUGAUCAUUGAAACAAGCCAAGAAUGAGGGAGAAUUUUGUGAAAUCCAUGGCAAUGCAAGUUGAAGCUCAAAUACAUGAAGAAUCCGAGCUUUGGAGCACUUCAUAGCCCUUUGCCAAGACAAUCAGAGAUGCAAGAAAGAAAACCAGAUGAAGUAAUCCAACAACCGGCAUUUUCGCAUGGCUAUGCGAAAAUUUCGCAUAGCAUGCGAAAAUUUAGAGGAGGAGCAGUUGCAGGACUGAGUGAAGGACAAAUUUUGCAUACCCUGUGAAACCAUAAGAGGCAGCCAAAGAAUUUCGUACACUAUGCGAAAUUUCGCAUGGUAUGCGAAAUCUUCUUGUGCACCAACUCCGUUAGAUUUUUAUUUCUAAAUAUUUGGUGUAAUUUCCUAUUUUCUCCUUAUAAUCAACCUAGAUAUUUUCUUUUAUAUCUUUUUAUAUUUUUUUGGUAACAUCUUAGAUAGACACAGAGGGAGACACACAGAUGGAUGGAGAUUCAUUGAACACUUGUAAAUUCCCGUAGUAAGAAAUAUACAGAACUUUUGCUCUGUCUUUCCUUCUCAUUUUAUUUUCACUUUUCUUUUUAGCCAAACAACCUCUGAGGAUGAUUUCUCAAGGGAUGAGUGGCUAGGUUUUAUGUUUCUUGGAGUGAUAGAAGCUAGGUGAAGGACCCGAAUGCAAAGGUGAGAGUUGUCCUUGCUUUAAAUGAAAGUAGUUGUUAACCAUUAGUGGUUUUUAUUUCAAGGUUUAGCUUUAAAUCCCUUAAAAUCACCUUGAAUGACCAAUACUUGGUAAGCUUUUCGGAUUCUAUGGAUGCUUAUUGCUAGAUCCAUGGAUGUCCAUUAGUUAUCAUUUACGAGACAUUGGAAGGUGGUUCAAGGUGAGAAUCACCUUGAAUGGCCAAUACUUGGUAAGCUUUUCGGAUUCUAUAGAUGUUUAUUGCUAGAUCCAUGGAUGUCCAUUAGUUAUCAUUUACAAGCCAUUGGAAGGUGGUUUAAGGUGAGGGUCUUUAGUGUUUAAAGCCAUUAAUGGGAAACAAUUACCAUUUUUCAUGAACCUUUUGGAUCAAAUCUUAAUUGCUAAAUACAAAACCGGUUCGGGAAAUAACCAUCUUUUAUGUUAUUGUCCCCAACGCAAGGAGAAGAUCCGGAAUCUCCCCCUUUGCCUAAAGAACCCGAUCCUAGUGACCUAAAGCUCCAAGAGACUUUUUCUUUGUAGUUAACUUCACUUAUUAUUUUUGCUUAACUUAAAAUCAAUCUUUGCAACCACAAUUCCAUUUUCUUUAAAAGCUAAUUUUCAUAAGGAAAAACACCAUUUUAUUUCCUUCACUAGAGUCAACUGUACGAUGAAAACCCAUCCCUGUGGACGAUCCUAGAGCCACUAUACUAUGUUAGCUAUGCUACCUUAGUGUAAGGUGAUUUAGGCUUUAUAAAUUUUGUUGAUAACACCCAUCUAGGCCAAAAUCAAAUGGCACGACUGUAAUGGGGACGAAUCACACAUUGACAAAUUUUAACGACAAAUUGGUCAUGUAAUGGUUUGAAAAAUGUCUAUGAAAUAUAUGAGAUCAUGCUAAAAUUUUGAUAUGAAAUUUAGUUUACUAAAUUAUUAUGUUUGAAUUUUUUUUAUUUCUUGUUUUGUUUUAUUUUUUUAUUUUCUCAUUUUUGGCAUUUCCCUUAUGGGGCUAUGGAUUUGCUAGAUCCUAAGACUAGUAAAGUCUUUAAGGUUAAUGGCGAUAGGGUUAAGCCAUUUGUGGAGGGAAUCAAUGAAGUUGGGGAUCAAAUCCCCUUUCAAAUUAAUGUUGCUCACUAGCCCAAAUGAGUUCUUCUUCAUUUUGUACAUAGUUGGAGCUUUCAGGGAGUGUGUGCGUUCAUUUCUUUUGGUGUUAUUAUUUAUUUUUCUUUAUUUAGGUGGGUUGCUUCAUAAUUUUAAUCUCAAAUGGUGCAAAACAUAUGUUCUUCUGAUGGAAAGAAUGGGAGAUGGCAGGUGCUAGUUUGCUGUGGAUUCGAAGUCUUUCGAGAUUUUGAUCAACAUUGUUGGAGGGGGAGCUUCGUGGUAUCAUCUUGGAGAAAAGUAGAGGCUUCUCCACUUGGAUAAGGUUUGACGAUUCUAGUUUGAGGUGUUUUCUGGAGGGAGUGGAAGUUUGCUGUAGGGAGGAGAGGCUUGGGAAAGUUGUAAAAAAUUGGGAAAAUGAGAGAAAGAGAUUUAGAUUGAAAAAAUGUGCUAACGAGGUGGGGAGGUACAUUCUUUGCUAUGGUCGUAAUUUGGAAGCAAAGAGGUUCUGUUUGGUAUUUCUGGAUGGUAGAAGGAUUCUAGAAGGGUGGGUUUUGCUAGUUGACAAGCUNNNNNNNNNNNNNNNNNNNNNNNNNNNNNNNNNNNNNNNNNNNNNNNNNNNNNNNNNNNNNNNNNNNNNNNNNNNNNNNNNNNNNNNNNNNNNNNNNNNNGGGGGGGGGGGGUGAGUUUUUGGAAUUUGGGAGGUGACUUCUUUCUUACAGAAUUUGAGGUUGUAGAGGAAGCUGAAAGAGUGCUACGAAGAGGGAUUCGACAUUUUAAGGAUAAGACGUUUCAUCUAGAGAGGUAGGGACCCGAGGUAGGUUGUUUUUGCCCGGAGUUCAUGCAAAUCACUAUUGGGUGAGGGCGGUGGGGCUUCCUCUAAAUUUAUAAAACUAGAAGGUGUUCAGGAAAUUGGAGGAUAGUCGCGAAGGGUUGAUUGCUGUGGAUGAUGACACGUCUAAAUUUGUGCAGCUUCAGUGAGCUAGGCAUUUGUGAGGACGUAAGGGAAGAUUUACUUGGGUCGUUACAUUUGGUGGUGGGUUCCUUAUGUUUUGCAAUCUAGCUAUUGUGGGAAGUGCCACCUUGGGUGUCAGUGGUGGUGCCGACGCAAGGGAAGGAGUGGUCGAAUGUUAGAAAUGAAAGAGGUUUGGAUUCACACGUUUGGAGCAGCGUGGGGCCAUCGUGGGUGCAAGGGCAGACUCUAAGGGAUGGAGUAGUAGGGCCAGUUGGUGAAGGUAGAGCUUAGCAGAUGGGAGUUAUUUCUAAUCAGUAUGGCAUGAGUAUGGUCGAGGGUGCCGAGGUAGGUGUAGGAAAUGAUGGGAAUGGGAAGGGGAAGGGGAAUGAGAAAAGAGUAGUUGAGGUUACUAGUGUUAGUUCAUAUGAUGGAGUGAGAUUAAAGGGGAAAGGAAGUUGGCCUAGAGUGCUUUGGGUCGAGUCGGACAAGGUGAGAAACAACGAGCUUUUGAGAGCCCAGGAUUCCUGUCAGCGGGUUGUUGUUAAGUUUGGGCCUGUAGUCCAUGAGGUUCUUAGGAUGGACUUUUCUUUGGGGAUAUUAGGAGCCGUUGGGCUUGGGGACUCAAGCCAGUCCAACUUUCCAACUAUUAGUCAAGAGGGUCUAGCCUAGAUGACUGUUACUGGAAGAUUAAAUAGGGUUAGGGCUCCUAUUGUUGAGUCUUCGUGUUUGGAAAGGAGGCUCAUUGAAGCAAUUCUCAGUGUUGUGUUGUUGGCUAAAGAAAGAGGAAAGUUUAGAGCAUAUGAGUCCCUAUUGGAGGAAGCUUCUAGGUACUCCCAUUUUGAGACUUGCUCUUUUCUUAGCCUUGAGGGUCAAGGUUCUUCUUCUUCUUUCUGUGGAGGGAAAAAAGAGGUGGUGGUUACUAACCAAGACCUUGUGGCAUUCAAGGGCCAUCCUAUGUGAACGGAAAGGGGUUGGUUGACCCAUUGAGAGUAAUCCGGGUAGAUGGGAGGGAGAGGGGAGUUUCGAUCGAUUUGGAAGAGGGAACCAAAAAAUAUGAUGGGAGAGCGUUGCUAGCAAAAGAUGUGGAAAGAGUUUUGGAGGAGGAAAAAAUGAGUGUUUUGGGUUUGUGGAUAAAUGGUAGUUUCGUGAAACUUUGUCAUUGUCUGGGUAUGCCUACUGAGGGGUUUGAGGGGGAAUUUCGUUGCUUUUGAGAAAAAUGGAAGAGAGGAAAAAUCUUAAGGGUGUUUCGACCGAAAAAAGAAGGAAAAUACAAAAGGUUUCUAGAUCAGAGAAGGAAUUGAAAAAACUUAAGUGCUCAGUGAAUUACAGUGGUGCUAGGAGAAAUGCGGGGAUACUUCAGUUUGCUAACUAAAGUUGGUGUCUUUUUGGUGCUGAGAGGUAAGUGAGGUUUUUCUAGGUUUGUGUAAUGAAGUUAAGAAUAUUAUCGUGGAACGUAAGAGAGGCUAAUGAUUAUGAGAAAAGAAAGGUGAUCAAGGCAUUGAUUAAAGAUCAAAAUGUGGAUUUGGUGUGCUUGCAGGAGACUAAGAUGCAGGAGAUGUCAGAAAGGAUAGUGUGGACCCGCAUUUUUCACGUGCGUCCCCACUCGAUCGACGAGACUCGCUUUUUAUUUGUGAAAAAUUGAUUUUUGAAAAAAAAGUUGGAGUCGCCACUUAUUUUAUUUUUAUUUUUGAAGGGAAAAUAAAACAAGAAAUAAAACCCUAAAAAAAUUGACUCCAUAAUUUUUGGAAAAGCGUGUCUUUGAAAAACCCGAGUCUAAGUCCGGGGAUCAGGUUACUUAUUGGGAAGGUACCUCUAGGAGGUAGCACCCCUCUAAGCCCUAAAGAGGUCUCUACUGACUAAGUUAAGGGAAGCGUGGCAAUUAAAUGGUUGAUCUUGGAUACCUAAGUAGGCUAGGUGAUUCCAAAAAAAAACAUAACAUAUCAAACAAGAUCAAAUCACAAUUAAGGAGAGUUAAAAAUGCGUACCUGGACGGCUUCCCAAGCGCUAUCAUAAAACAUAAGAGAUUAGUUUGGAGAUACAUCACACAACAUUUGUUUUAUCAAAGAUAAUCAAACAAUCAUCAAAUGUAUAUCAAGGCAAUUAAAGAGGAUAGCAAGCAUGGACAUACAUAUUCAUAGGGUUUAGAAAGUGGGUAUUAUGGAACGUACCUGGAUAGCAUAUUUAACUCCUAAUGCGCUUCCACAAAACAUGAGAGGUUAGAUAACAAACAAUAAAAUAAGAAGUCCUAGCAUGCUCGUUAUCUAAUUAUCAUAGCAGAAAUUGUCAAAAUAUAUGAAAACAAUAAUUAUCACACUCAUCCUGUAUACCAUUUCUAAAAAAAAGAUAGACAUAAUUUCAACAAGUGACAAAAAUGGCAAUAAAAAUAAUUUUUGAAAAGAUUUUCUUAUGUAGGGGUUUCACCAAUUCCCCAAAUUAAUAUACACAAAUUUAGCCCAGAAUUAUCCCAUUAUUUGGGACCACAAGCUUUGAUUCGUGUUUUUGUUCAAAACCAAACUUUUUGUUAGAAACCGAGAAGGAUGCAAACCGAACAAAAUAUGGUUGCAUAUUAUUUUUUAAAAUAAAAAAAAAGAUUUUGAUCCUGAGGACUCUAAAUGAGUUUUUGAAAUAAAUUUUUAAAAUGAUUUUUUGAGAAAAGUAUUUUAUUUUAAAAUAAAAGGAAUUAAUUUGGAAAAAAUAAAAUAUAAGAAAUAAAAUACCAAACAAAACAAAAAUGAAACCUCAAAGUAAAAUUUUUUAGUAAUUAACAAAAAUGAUAAUGGUGAUGGUAGAGACCAAUCUUCAUGAUUUUCCAAUGGCCUCUAAAAAUCAAAUUUAAUAAAUAUUCAUCAAAGCAACAAACCAAACGACUUUAGAUCAAAUAAAACUAAUGAAAUAUUAAUCGGGAAUUUAUAAGGAUCAAUCAAACACAUAAAUUGAGAUAAACAAUCUAGAACUAAUUUAAAAUCAACCAAACACCUAAACAUGUAAUUAUAAUAAUGUGAAUAUAGUAACACAAGCACAUAGAAUUCUAAAACAUAUUAACUAAUCAAAAACUAGAAUCAUCAAUUUUAGAACGUGAGCAAAAUAACAUAAGAUUAGUUAAACUAAUUAACCUAUUAGAAAAAAAAAAAAAGCAUGAACUAAAUAUUGAUAAACCAAGAAUGAAGAUUAGUAUACUCAAAACAUGAAUAAUACGACUUAGGGUUAAUUAAAUUAGUUAUCUAAAACUUUGGAAAACAUACAAACUAAAAGUGGAUCAACCAAGAAUUAACCAAAUAUUUCUUAAACUAAUCAACUUAAAUCCUAAAAAGGAUGAAUCAGAAAAAUGAUUUACAAUUUUUUUUUUUAAAAAACAUAAAUUUAAUUAGAUGGGAUCAAAUAGACUAAUGAGCUAAAAUUCUAAAAUAUCUAAACUAAAUAAGAUGAACCAAAACAAGAUCAAAAUAAACUUAAAAACAUAAACUUUAUUACAUAGGAUCAAUUAGAAUGAUAGACUAAAAAUUAUAAAACACUUGAACUAAAUAAAAAGCUGACUCAUAAAAAAACUGACUUUUAAAAUUAAAUCUAUUAAAACCGAUCUAAGCAAAAUUCUAACUUUUCGAACUAAGCAAGGAAUCAAAUCCAAACUACACAAAGAUUCUAAUUUUUCAAUGUAAUAUAAUGAAUCAAAAUUAAAAUAAAACAAAAAAUUCUCACCUUUUAAACCAAAGUAAUGAAUCAAAACUAAGCAAAAAAAAAUUUACUUUUCAAUCUAAUAUAAAAAAAAUCAAAACUAGAUUAAACAAAAUUCAAACAUUUCAAAAAUAACGCAAGGAAUAAAAAAUAAAUUAAAUAAAAUUUUAACCUUUCAAUCUAGUUCAAUGAAUAAAAAAUUGAAUCAAACAAAAAUUCUAAUUUUUCGAGACAAACAUAAUGAAUUAAACUUAAACUAAACAAAACCUAACUUUUGAAACCAUGACAAUAAAUCAAAAUCAAACUAACUACAUCCUAACUUUUUCAUCCGAUUAAAAAAAAAAAUCAAAAUUAAUACAUAAAAACUCUAACUUUCAAUCCAAUAAAAAAAUUAAAACUAAAAUCCUUAGAAAUUCUAACUUACCUUCUCUAGAGUUCCUCUAUGGUGGUGCGGCUGCUAGUGCUCAAUGGUGAAUGUGUGGUGGCUGCCUCCUUCCUCUUCCUUCUCACCGGCCUCUCUUUGUUCCCUAAAAAUAAUAUCUCUCCGUGUCAAUCUCUAAAAAAAUAAAUCCUUCCGUUGCUUCCAAAAAAUAAUAUCUCUCCGUGUGGAUCUCCAAAAAAAAAUCCUUCCUCCUAUAUGGCAGCCUCCUCCUUUAUACAUAUAUGAGUUGCCUUCUUUUUAUUUGGAAAGUUCGUCUUCUCCCAAUUGUGCAUGGCUUUUCCUAGUAUGGAAAAUGUGAUUGCCAAUAUACCGAAUGCAUGAUUCUGUCCUCCAAAAAAAUAUCUCAUGCAACCACAAUAUUUUCUUAUUAAAAAUUCAGCUUCCCAUAAAUUCUCUAGUGUCAUUGAACUCCAAUUUCGAAUUGCAUAAAGAUACCUCUUAGACUUUCUAUCACACCCCAUUUCAUCAACCCUCCUCACAGAAUCUUUAAUACUCUCCGGCUUAUGCAGCAAAAAUCUCGGGAAGCUAAAUACAACUUUCUUUAUCUGUGUCGUGCUGAUUCCACAACUCUUCAUGAAUUCAAUAUUAGGUUUCAAGGUCUUCCCUAAAUCAUGUUUCAGAAACCGCGCACAAAUCUUCAAAACCUUAGAGACAUCCGAGUUCGAACCCAUAACACUCUGCAAUGCUACAAUUGAUGGCAGCAAGCCAUUAUUAGCACUCCUAUUUAAGAUCCACGGGUCUUGCGAUAUAAUAUAAGCAAUGUCGGUGGGCGUACAGCCCAAAUCCUGGAAAAUCUUGAUUUUGGGCUUGAUGGUCUUGUCAAGGUUGGCAGAGAGAACACGGGGGACUCGUUUGACUGUUUUCUCGAGAUGGGUCUGGGAAAAGCCGCUUUCCUUGAGGAAUGCUAGUAUGGAAUCAGACUUCUCGGGCUUUUUCAAAUGUUAUCACAGAAGCGGCCGUUAGAGCGGUUUCUUGGGAGAACUGGUGCCGCUUGAUCAAGUAAUCGGCAGUAGAGACGGGGAUAGCUGGUUUUUUUUUUUUUUUUUUUUUUGGGGUCCGGAGGAGGAGAAGAAGAGGAGAGAGAGGGAGCAGGAGAAGUGAGGUUUGUUGGUGGAGGCAGCGCAGAAGCAGUGGUCGCCGGAAGAGGAGCGAGCUUGGGUAGUUAUUGUUCAGCGUGGAGUUCCGGUUCGACGAUUUCUUCUUGGCAACGUUGAGGAGAUACCUGUCCACGCUGGGUUUUAGUCAAGAAGGUGAGCCUUUUCAUGUUGGUCGCGGUGGAGGCGAUGAUGGUGGCGAACUCUGUCGGCAGUUGUGAACUUCCCCUUUUUCAAUGCAAAAUUCCAGAAGCACUAGCAGUCCUGUUGCGGCUUCUUUUUUAUAUCGGCAUCAGAAGUCACUAAAACUCCAGUUGUCAUUCACCCUCAGGCGUGGUAUGCAUGCCCCCAUGUCCACAUGUUCUUCACGCCAGAUCAUCCUCUCCAGAGACUUCCAGAGAAACUCCAAAAAUGCCUGACCUCCUAUGCCUUGCUCACGUGACAGCUGCAUCAACUUCAUCCUUCUUUAAAAUUCCUCUUCCCAUGCAAAAUAUAAUAGAAUAAUAGUAUAAAAAAAAAUUAAAAGGAAACUAAAGAAACUAAUGAAAUUAGUAAUAAAAUAGAAUAUGAUUUCAAAAAAAAAGGCAAAGGAAUAAUGAGAGCUUAGAUAAUAUCAUUUCCUCCUUCAAUAAUAGGGUCACAUGCGUAUUUAAAGUAUAAACAAUUCAAGCAAUUUUUUUUAUUAAGUAAAUAAAUAAAAAUAAAUAAAUAAAUAAAGACAAUUAAAUACAUGAAUAAAUAAAUAAUAAAAAGUAAAAGUAAAAAAUGAAUAGACAAAAUAAAUGUAAUUAUCAAAUACAUGCCAUAAUAAUAAUAAUAUUGUAUAUAUAAGAAAUAAUAACAAUAAAAUGUUGAGCCUCAAUGAAAUGUCUAAAUGGACCUAUUCUGAAAAAGGUGUCUAAGUGACCCAAGUGACGUGUGUAAAUAAGGAGGUGUCUCGGUGCGAGUCAAGGUGAAUCUAGGUGGGCCUAGGGUGCCUAAAUGGACCUAGGGUGCCUAAAUGGGCUUAAGUGCCUAAGUGGGCCCAGGGUGCCUAAGUGGACUUAAGAUGGUGCUUAAUGGGCCAAGUGCAUCUCAAAACUAUCCUAGAAAUGAAUGAAAAGUCUAAUUCUAAAUUAGGGCUGCCAAAGGUCACAAUAAGGGGUCAGAUAAUCCCUCAACCAAAGUCUCUGAGGUGGCUCAAGAAAGAUAAGUAGUAUGAGUAGCUAUGGGCCACCAAGGAACUACUAUAAAGUAUCGAAUAAGUAUCUAAUAGGACAUGUGCUAGGAGGACAAAAUUGAGGGUCUACAGAUAGUCAGGAGCCUUGGUGUGGGAAGAUGUUUAGAUUGGGAGGCCGUCAACUCGAGAGGGGCCUCUGGUGGAGUGUUGGUGUUUUGAGAUAAUAGGGUGUUACAGUUAUUGGAGGCAGAAGUAGGGAUUUUCUCAGUGUUUUAGUGGUUCAAAAUAUGUGAGGAUGACUUUUGUUGGAACUUCACUAGGGUCUAUGGUCCUACGUUGAAAAAAUAGAGGGAAGAUUUUUUGGAUGAAUUAAAUGCUAUGAGAGGGUUAUGGGGUGGCCCUUGGUGCAUGGCAGGUGAUUUUAAUGUGGUUAGGUUCCCUGUGGAAAGCAGUAUGAGAGGCAGACUAACCUACUCAAUGAAGAGAUUCUUGGAGAUUAUUGAGGAUUUAGAGUUAAGGGACCUACCUUUGCAGGGAGGCUCUUUCACUUGGAAUGGUGGGUUGAAUAAUCAAUCUCAUUCUAUGCUUGAUCGGUUUUUGGUCUCAAAUGAGUGGGAAUGUCACUUUUCAGGGGUUGUGCAGUGUGUUCUUCCUAAACCGGUUUCAGAUUAUUUUCCAAUUCUUCUAGAUGGGGGAUGAGUGAGAAGAGACCCGAUGCCUUUUAGAUUUGAAAAUAUGUGGUUGAAGAAGAAAGGUUUCAAGGAAAAAGUGUAGGCUUUGUGGGAAGGUCUCAGUUUUAGUGGGUCUGCUAGCUUUGUGUUGGUAGCUAAGUUGAAAGCUUUGAAGCCAUUAUUGAGAGACUGGAAUAGGUUGGAUUUCGGUAAAAUGGAAGUCAAUAAGACUUUGGCUUUGAAUCAGGUGGAUUUCUGUGACAAGGUAAAGUUAACCUUGCCUCUUACUGUUCAUGAAUUGGAAGCAAGGAGAGAAGCAAAUGAGGACUUUAAAAAGUGGGUUUUUCUGGAAGAAAUUUUGUGGAGACAGAAAUCAAGGAAAGUUUGGCUGAGUGAGGGGGAUAGGAACACUAGUUUCUUCUAGAGGAGAAUGGGGUUAGAAAUGGUGUGGUGAAUGAGUUUAAGUUGUUGAUGUCUGUUGCAAGAUGAUGGAGACCCAAUAUAAGUGGGAUGUCCUUUGAGAAGUUGGAGUCUAUGGAUGCAACUAGACUGGAUGAGCCGUUUUCAGAGCAGGAGGUGCUAGAAGCUCUUAAGGGCUUUUGUGGGGACAAAGCGCUUGAGCCUGAUGGUUUUCCUAUGGCUUUUUGGCAAUUUUCUUAGGAUUUUGUGAAGAAGAAGAUCAUGGAUUUUUUGUAGGGAGUUUCAUAACCAUGGUCGGUUUGUUAAAAGUCUAAAUGCAACGUCCUUUGUUUUGAUCCUAAAAAAAAAAAAAAAAAAACAGAAGACUUAAGGGACUUCAGGCCUAUUAGUUUGGUGGGAGGGUUGUAUAAGUGACUGGUUAAAGCUAGUGGUGGGUAAGGUGGUCUCUAAGGCUCAAAAUGCUUUUGUGGAAGGAAGACAAAUUUUGAAUGUUGUCUUUGUUGUUAAUGAAGUUAUAGACUCGAUAUUGAAGAGCAAUGAAGGGGCGGUGAUGUGUAAGUUGGAUAUAGAAAAUGCGUAUGAUCAUGUGGACUGGUCCAUCUUGUUUUCAGUCAUGAGUAUGAUGGGUUUUGGGGAGAAAUGGAUCCGGUGGAUGCAGUGGUGUAUUUCCACAGCCAACUUUUAUGUUCUGGUUAAUGGGUCUUCUUCAGGUUUCUUCCAAAGUUCUAGGAGUUUAAGGUAGAGGGAUCGCCUCUCUUCGUACCUAUUUGUGAUGAUUAUGGAGGUUCUUAGUUGUCUCUUAAGGUGUGCAGUAAAUGAGGGUUUUUUGUUAGCCUUUAAGGUGAGGAGUAGAGGAAGUGAGGGGGUUCAGGUGUCUCAUUUACUUUUCGCUGAUGAUACUUUGGUUUUCUGUGGAGCUUCUAAGGAUCAAUUGUUGUAUUUAAGUUGGAUUUUAAUGUGGUUUGAGGCCAUGUCGAGGUUGAGAAUUAAUCUGGAUAAAAGUGAGUUAAUAUCAAUGGGUGGUGUGGAAAACACGGAGGCUUUGGCCACAAAUCUUGGGUGUAAGGUUGGAAGUCUUCCGUCCACUUAUUUGGGAUUGCCAUUAGGUACGCCUCAUAGAUCUGUGGCUGUUUAGGAUGGAGUGGAGGAUGCAGAAGAAAUUGGCUAGAUGGAAGAGCUAAUACAUUUCCAAAGGAGGAAGGAUGACCUUGAUUCGGAGCACUUUGGCGAGUAUGCCCAUUUACUUCAUGUUUGUGCUUUUUAUGCUUAGAAAGGUCAGAUUGAGGAUACAGCAGAUUCAGAGGGAUUUUUUGUGGGGAGGUGAGACCCUUGAGUAGAAACCUCAACUUGUUCGGUGGGGUUUGGUUUGCCUAGAUAAGAGCAAAGAGGGGUUGGAGGUAAAAUACCUUUCUACCCUCAAUAAGGCACUUUUGUGUAAAUGGAGCUGGAGAUUUGAAAAAGAGAGAGAGGCCUUUUGGAAUCAAGUGAUCAGGGGAAAGUAUGGGGAGGAGCAAGGGAGUUGGUGUUCUAAGUGAAGAGUGGAUAUGGUGUGGGGUUAUGGAAAACAUUUAGGAAAGAGUGGAGUGUUGUAAGUAGUAGACUCUAUUUUGUAGUGGGAAAUGGGUAAAAGGUGAAAUUCUGGAAAGAUAGAUGGUGUGAGGAUGAACCUCUUUGUGUUUCUUUUCCCUCUUUAUUUGAUUUAAUUGUCUUCAAGGAUGCUUGGGUAAAAGAUGUGUGGUGUUCCAAUGAGGGUGGGGGGAGUUGGAGCCCACACUUCUCCAAACCGUUUAAAGAUUAGGAGAUGGAUGAGGUGUGCAGAUUCUUUUUGGGCCUUAAUGGGAAGAGAGUUCGACAGGCAGUGGAAGAUAGGGUGAUUUGGAGAGAGACUAAAUGUGGGAAUUUUUCUGUUAAGUCUCUCUACAAAUCAUUAGUUUCAGGCCUUCCAGCCUUUUUCCCUUCGUUGGCCAUUUGGAAAGUUUAUGUGCAAUCUAGAGUGAGUUUUUUUUUGGGUAGGAAGCAAUGUGGGGAAAGGCUCUUACCUUGGAUCAACUUCAAAAGAGAGGAUGACCUUUAGCUAACAGAUGUUAUCUUUGUCAAAGGCACGAAGAAUCAAUAGAUCACAUUUUUCUCCACUGUGCCAAGGCAAAGACUCUUUGGGCGUUGCUUUGCUCUCUUUUUAGGGUGCAGUGGGCGCUGUCGGCAAGAAACAAAGUUGUCUUUGAGGAAGAAGAGUUGUCAAUCCAAAGACUUAAGAAUUCUUUUAUAUAUUUCCUUUGGUUAGAGACGAAACUAUUUAUAAAAGAUGGUCCUUGGACUUUAGUUGAUUUUAUUGAUUGGGUGGGAACCUAUUGAGGGUGGGGUUCGGGCUGCACCUCCGUCCUUAGCAUCCAACUAAGGAGUGGGUUCUUCUUUGUAAUCUUUAAGUCGUUGCUUUGACAAUUUUUUAAUACAAUUUUAUCAUUUACUUAUAAAUAAAAAAAAAAUUAAUCUCAAUAGCUCUCUUUGCAUAACUUCUUGUAGACUUGUGGAUUCCAUAGUUGUUUGUGGUUGUUGCCUUUUUUUCUCAAGUACUAAAUUUGUACACCACCACACCCCCCCCACAAAAAAAAAAAAAAAAAAAAAAAAUAGUGCACUAAGGGGCUUGAAUUUGAAAGAGAGGACACUCAAGGUCCAAUUUUAAUAAAUCUUACUUUAUAUAUUUUGUAUAAUAAUUACAUACAAAAUAAAUAUACUUAUAAAUAUAAUUAUAAAUAGUUUUAAAAAUAAUUAUACAUAUCAUCAUUAUCAUUUUUUUUUAUAUCCUUAAACUUAUCCAAACUAAGAAUUAAAUGUGUGUUUUCAAAUUCCUUAAAUUAUUAUCAAAUGUCACAUAUUUUAUAAGUUAAUAUACAUUAUUUUCUUCACUAAGCUAGCUUCAAUAUGUGCAUUAGUAGUUGUUUUAUCAUUUUCUGUAAGUUUCAAUAUUUUUUAGUUUGAUCAAUUUUCGUUUUACUGAUCUUUUUUUAUUUGAAUUUGGGUCCCUUGUUUCCAAUAUUUCUCUUUGUUUCCCUAAAUCCAAGUAUUCAUAUUUUCAUAAAUUCUCAUAUUCAAAAUGGGAUAAAUUAAUGGGAUGAAUUAGAUAAUAACAGCAUUAGUCAAGUCAUCCCUGGAAGUUUUAUUGAAAGAGAAUUUUGAAACAUAAAGUCGUGAAGUAGAAACCACGCUUGGCACUCUAAUGAAACAUAAAAUUAUUCAGUAGCAACUACAUUUUAAUAGUAGAAUCAAACAUACAAAAGUUCAUUUAUUCGGACACUGGACUUAGCUUAUCAACCCCUUAACCGAAGAAAAGGGACAUGCUCUCCAAUGAAAUAAAAGAGCAGUUCUCGGUAAUAGGAGUUCAAGUAGAGAAAAGCAACGAUGCAUAAGAAUGCCACUCCGUAUGAUCCUCCAAAACUCCAUAAGAAUAUGGCUUCCCAAGAGCUAUUUUCUCUGUUGUCUGAAACUGGUGGUUUGACUGCAGGUGGGGCACUAGUGGGAGUGCAACUUUGAUCUAAUGGCAGCCCACAUAGAAGAGGGUUGCCCUCGUAACUGCUUUGUUCAAAUGUUGCAAACUGAAACUUCCUCUCUGGAGUCUUACCUGAUAAAUUGUUGUGAGCGACAGUGAAAAUCGUCAAGAAGUUUAACUCUAUUACCAUCUGUGGUGGAAUUUGACCUGUCAAUCUAUUGUGGGAUAG